rnacentral:rRNA from 1 species
UACGUAGGGGGCUAGCGUUGUCCGGAUUUAUUGGGCGUAAAGAGCGCGUAGGCGGCCGAGUAAGUCCGACGUGAAAUCUGGGGGCUCAACCUCCAGCGGUCGUUGGAAACUACUCGGCUAGAGUCCGGAAGAGGAGAGUGGAAUUCCUGGUGUAGCGGUGAAAUGCGCAGAUAUCAGGAAGAACACCGAUGGCGAAAGCAGCUCUCUGGGACGGUACUGACGCUGAGGCGCGAAAGCGUGGGGAGCGAACAGG